GGCGCAGUUCGCACGCAUAUUCGGUGUUACGCAAUUUAUUCACCAAACGCCUAGAGGACAGUAAAGCAAAUUAUAGCACUAGGAGUUCCUAGAGGAUUAGCGAGGGGCCCCCAGCUGCAGUCCAUCUCUUCCUCAGAAUCUCAGGUUGUGUAGAUGUGCCCUGUAGAUGAAGCCACAACUCCUUAAUACCACGCCUGCCAACACAAGUGUUAAAAUGGCAACGGGACGGGAGUUUGACUGAAAAGCCACAUUACAAAUUAGAAGAUGCGCCGCAAUUAUUUGAGGAGUUUAUCAAAGAUUACGACAGAAAGUACGCGAAUGACGAAGAUAGAAAGAUUCACAACGACGCAUUUGUGAGAAUAUUAGAGAAAAUAAACAAAGCGAACGCUUCCAAUACAGCGACC